GCCUUCUUGGUAUAGUGGUCAGUACACUCGACGCGUAACCGAGAGGUCCCUGGUUCGAUUCCGGGUGAAGGCG
rnacentral:tRNA from 1 species